UGGCUCAGGAUGAACGCUGGCGGCGUGCCUAAUACAUGCAAGUCGAACGCUUCACUUCGGUGAAGAGUGGCGAACGGGUGAGUAAUACAUAAGUAACCUGGCAUCUACAGGGGGAUAACUGAUGGAAACGUCAGCUAAGACCGCAUAGGUGUAGAGAUCGCAUGAACUCUAUAUGAAAAGUGCUACGGGACUGGUAGAUGAUGGACUUAUGGCGCAUUAGCUUGUUGGUAGGGUAACGGCCUACCAAGGCGACGAUGCGUAGCCGACCUGAGAGGGUGACCGGCCACACUGGGACUGAGACACGGCCCAGACUCCUACGGGAGGCAGCAGUAGGGAAUUUUCGGCAAUGGGGGAAACCCUGACCGAGCAACGCCGCGUGAAGGAAGAAGUAAUUCGUUAUGUAAACUUCUGUCAUAGAGGAAGAACGGUGGAUAUAGGGAAUGAUAUCCAAGUGACGGUACUCUAUAAGAAAGCCACGGCUAACUACGUGCCAGCAGCCGCGGUAAUACGUAGGUGGCGAGCGUUAUCCGGAAUUAUUGGGCGUAAAGAGGGAGCAGGCGGCACUAAGGGUCUGUGGUGAAAGAUCGAAGCUUAACUUCGGUAAGCCAUGGAAACCGUAGAGCUAGAGUGUGUGAGAGGAUCGUGGAAUUCCAUGUGUAGCGGUGAAAUGCGUAGAUAUAUGGAGGAACACCAGUGGCGAAGGCGACGAUCUGGCGCAUAACUGACGCUCAGUCCCGAAAGCGUGGGGAGCAAAUAGGAUUAGAUACCCUAGUAGUCCACGCCGUAAACGAUGAGUACUAAGUGUUGGGUGUCAAAGCUCAGUGCUGCAGUUAACGCAAUAAGUACUCCGCCUGAGU
rnacentral:rRNA from 1 species